AGUGAACGCUGGCGGCAGGCCUAACACAUGCAAGUCGAACGAACAGAUAGGGAGCUUUCGCCUUUGAGGGUGGCGGCGGACGGAUGGGUGACACAUGGUUAACAUACCUCUAAGACUGGGGUGAUAACGGGGAACCGGAGCUACUACUGCAGAAUAUGUCGAACCGCAUGGUUCGCUAGUGCAAGAUGCUUUUUGUAUCACUUAUAGACGAACCCGCGCCGUAUUAGCUAGUUGGUAAGGUAACGGCAUACCAAGGCGACGAUGCGUAGCCGAGCUGAGAGGGUGAUCGGCCACACUGGAACUGAGACACGGUCCACACUCCUACGGGGGGACGCAGUCGGGAAUCUUACGCAAUGGGCGAAAGCCUGAUCGAGCAAAACCGCGUGAGUGAUGAAGGUCUUCGGCUUGUAAAACCCUGUUGUUCGGAAAGAAAAUAAGUGCAUUCACCUGUGACCGUAUUGACGGUACCCAAAGAAGAAGCCCCGGCUAACUUCGUG
rnacentral:rRNA from 1 species